AACGAACGCUGGCGGCAUGCCUAACACAUGCAAGUCGAACGAGACCUUCGGGUCUAGUGGCGCACGGGUGCGUAACGCGUGGGAACCUGCCCUUAGGUUCGGAAUAACUCCCCGAAAGGGGUGCUAAUACCGGAUAAUGUCUUCGGACCAAAGAUUUAUCGCCUUUGGAUGGGCCCGCGUUGGAUUAGCUAGUUGGUAGGGUAAAAGCCUACCAAGGCGACGAUCCAUAGCUGGUCUGAGAGGAUGAUCAGCCACACUGGGACUGAGACGCGGCCCAGACUCCUACGGGAGGCAGCAGUGGGGAAUAUUGGACAAUGGGCGGAAGCCUGAUCCAGCAAGGCCGCGUGAGUGAUGAAGGCCUUAGGGUUGUAAAGCUCUUUUACCCGGGAUGAUAAUGACAGUACCGGGAGAAUAAGCUCCGGCUAACUCCGUG
rnacentral:rRNA from 1 species